rnacentral:rRNA from 1 species
AGCGUCUGGAAAGGCGCGCGAUACAGGGUGACAGCCCCGUACACAAAAGCGCAURUGCUGUGAGCUCGAUGAGUAGGGCGGGACACGUGGUAUCCUGUCUGAAUAUGGGGGGACCAUCCUCCAAGGCUAAAUACUCCUGACUGACCGAUAGUGAACCAGUACCGUGAGGGAAAGGCGAAAAGAACCCCGGCGAGGGGAGUGAAAAAGAACCUGAAACCGUGUACGUACAAGCAGUGGGAGCCCCACCACUAAGCCAGUGGUGAACUCCACAUACGCAUCCUUUGCUGAGGAURCGGUUAACGGAGCGAAAGCGACGUUCAACCGCAAAAGAAGCAGAGGGGGCUUAGUGGUGGGGUGACUGCGUACCUUUUGUAUAAUGGGUCAGCGACUUAUAUUCUGUAGCAAGGUUAACCGWAUAGGGGAGCCGGAGGGAAACCGAGUCUUAAYYGGGCGUUAAGUUGCAGGGUAUAGACCCGAAACCCGGUGAUCUAGCCAUGGGCAGGUUGAAGGUUGGGUAACACUAACUGGAGGACCGAACCGACUAAUGUUGAAAAAUUAGCGGAUGACCUGUGGCUGGGGGUGAAAGGCCAAUCAAACCGGGAG